UUUCAGGCUACCUUUAGCGGGGGAACCGGCGGACUCAUUACCCGCCUUGCCUGAAACCUAUCAGUAAUGA
rnacentral:sRNA from 1 species